CUAGACGAGUUAAUUUAACUCCAUAAACA
rnacentral:tRNA from 1 species